rnacentral:pre_miRNA from 1 species
AUGUAGUGUGACAUGCCCGUUGGGUUUUACUCUAAUGUUGAAUUAAUUAUUAUUUAAUUACUUUUGGGUAACGGGGUGUUACAUUGAG